rnacentral:misc_RNA from 1 species
GAUGAAGAACGCAGCGAAGUGCGAUAAGUAAUGUGAAUUGCAGAAUUCCGUGAAUCAUCGAAUCUUUGAACGCAAAUUGCACUCUCUGGUAUCCCGGGGAGUAUGCCUGUUUGAGGGUCAGUGUUAAUAAAAAUCGGUGCGUUGCACUUUAUUGUGACGUUCUGGAGUUUGAGUUAUCUUAACUUUUAGGUUAAGAGGCUUAAAAUUGACCUUUUUUUUUGUGCAUUUUAGACGUACAUAAAUUUUCUUUUAUUUGUCUUUUAAUGCCAAAAUUAUAUUAGAUGCGACCAUAUCGUGUGGUUUCGUGUCUAUAAAUUUUUCAUGAUUUGACCUCAAAUCAGGUAGGAGUACCCGCUGAACUUAAGCAUAUCAAUAAGCGGAGGA